rnacentral:rRNA from 1 species
AAACCAACAGGGAUUGCCCUAGUAACGGCGAGUGAAGCGGCAGCAGCUCAAAUUUGAAAUCUGGUCCCCCGGGCCCGAGUUGUAAUUUGUAGAGGAUGCUUCGGCGUUGGCCCCGGCCUAAGUUCCUUGGAACAGGACGUCGCAGAGGGUGAGAAUCCCGUACGCGGCCGGUGUCCCUCGCCAUGUGAAGCUCCUUCGACGAGUCGAGUUGUUUGGGAAUGCAGCUCUAAAUGGGAGGUAAAUUUCUCCUAAAGCUAAAUACCGGCCAGAGACCGAUAGCGCACAAGUAGAGUGAUCGAAAGAUGAAAAGCACUUUGGAAAGAGAGUUAAAAAGUACGUGAAAUUGUUGAAAGGGAAGCGCUUGCAGCCAGACCUGCCCGCGGUCGCUCAUCCAGGCUCCUGCCUGGUGCACUCUUCCGCGGUCAGGCCAGCAUCGGUCCGGGCGGCCGGACAAAGGCGGCGGGAACGUGGCUCCCCUCGGGGAGUGUUAUAGCCCGCCGCGCAAUGCGGCCAGCCGGGACCGAGGUCCGCGCCUCGGCUAGGAUGCUGGCGUAAUGGCUGCAAGC